rnacentral:rRNA from 1 species
UACGGAGGGUGCAAGCGUUAUCCGGAUUUACUGGGUUUAAAGGGUGUGUAGGCGGGGCUUUAAGUCAGUGGGGAAAUCUCCGAGCUUAACUUGGAAACUGCCAUUGAUACUAUUUGUCUUGAAUACUGUGGAGGUCAGCGGAAUAUGUCAUGUAGCGGUGAAAUGCUUAGAUAUGACAUAGAACACCAAUUGCGAAGGCAGCUGGCUACACAAAUAUUGACACUGAGGCACGAAAGCGUGGGGAUCAAACAGG